ACUUACGGCCAUACCAUCCUGAAUACGCCCGAUCUCGUCAGAUCUCGGAAGCUAAGCAUGGUCGGGCCUGUUUAGUACUUUGAUGGGAGACUGCCUGGGAAUACUAGGUGCUGUAAGUG
rnacentral:rRNA from 1 species